AAAAGUAAUGAAAAAUAGUGACAAAUGAAUGGAAAAAAUUUGUAUGUAUCAAAAUAUUAUUAUUCUGAAUAUAUUGAUAGAGAAAUUGUGUUGCUACUAAUGUAUAAGAUGCAUGGUUGGUAUAUAUAUAUAUAUGUAUGUAGGAUAUCAAGUCAGCAGAUUGGUCUCCCUUUGUUGCUCCAUUUUGGCCAGCAGUGAUACGUUCUGCGUUAACAUGGAAUGGCCUCACUUCACUUUUGCGCAGUGGAGUGAAAACCAUUAAAGGAGCUUUGGCUAUGCCAUUGAUGAUAAAAGGAUACAAGAAGGGUUUGAUUAAGUUUGUGAUCAUUACAUGUAGAAAGCCUGAAUAAAUAAGUUAAAUAUUAUAUUUAUUGUUUUGACAUAAUUUAUUUUAAUAGUUGAAAAAAAUAUAUAUUAGAGAAGCCUAUUGAGAGUGAAAGGGGUGAAAUGACAUCAAAUGGAAGAUGUAUGAAAAUUCGAUUCAGCUUCCGCUAAGAUACCAAUAAUGGUGCAAAUUAAAAAAACACCAAUAAUUGUACUUCAUAUUUUGCUUUAUCUCGAUUUUAUUUUAUUUAGUUUA